CCAAUAGCGUAUAUUAAAGUUGUUGCAGUUAAAAAGCUCGUAGUUGAAUUUCGGGAUCAAGGAAUCGGUCAUGCCUCGGUAUGUACUGGUUUUAUUGGUUCUCACCUUCUAAAGAACCAUAAUGUCAUUCAUUUGAUGUUAUGGGGAAUUAGGACUGUUACCUUGAAAAAAUUAGAGUGUUUAAAGCAGGCUUACGCUUGAAUACAUUAGCAUGGAAUAAUGAAAUAGGACAUCAGAUUCUAUUUUGUUGGUUUCUAGGAUCGAUGUAAUGAUUAAUAGGGAUAGUUGGGGGCAUUAGUAUUCAAUUGUCAGAGGUGAAAUUCUUGGAUUUAUUGAAGACUAACUACUGCGAAAGCAUUUGCCAAGGAUGUUUUCAUUAAUCAAGAACGAAAGUUAGGGGAUCGAAGACGAUCAGAUACCGUCGUAGUCUUAACCAUAAACUAUGCCGACUAGGGAUCGGAUGAUGUUAAUUUUUUAAUGACUCAUUCGGCGCCUUACG
rnacentral:rRNA from 1 species